rnacentral:rRNA from 1 species
AACGAACGCUGGCGGCAUGCCUAACACAUGCAAGUCGAACGAAGCCUUCGGGCUUAGUGGCGCACGGGUGCGUAACGCGUGGGAAUUUGCCCUUGGGUUCGGAAUAACAGUUAGAAAUGACUGCUAAUACCGAAUGAUGUCUUCGGACCAAAGAUUUAUCGCCCAAGGAUGAGCCCGCGUCGGAUUAGCUGGUUGGUGAGGUAAAGGCUCACCAAGGCGACGAUCCGUAGCUGGUCUGAGAGGAUGAUCAGCCACACUGGGACUGAGACACGGCCCAGACUCCUACGGGAGGCAGCAGUGGGGAAUAUUGGACAAUGGGCGAAAGCCUGAUCCAGCAAUGCCGCGUGAGUGAUGAAGGCCUUAGGGUUGUAAAAGCUCUUUUACCCGGGAUGAUAAUGACAGUACCGGGAGAAUAAGCCCCGGCUAACUCCGUGCCAGCAGCCGCGGUAAU